AUUGAACGCUGGCGGCAGGCCUAACACAUGCAAGUCGAGCGGAUGAAGGGAGCUUGCUCCUGGAUUCAGCGGCGGACGGGUGAGUAAUGCCUAGGAAUCUGCCUGGUAGUGGGGGAUAACGUCCGGAAACGGGCGCUAAUACCGCAUACGUCCUGAGGGAGAAAGUGGGGGAUCUUCGGACCUCACGCUAUCAGAUGAGCCUAGGUCGGAUUAGCUAGUUGGUGGGGUAAAGGCCUACCAAGGCGACGAUCCGUAACUGGUCUGAGAGGAUGAUCAGUCACACUGGAACUGAGACACGGUCCAGACUCAGACGGGAGGCAGCAGUGGGGAAUAUUGGACAAUGGGCGAAAGCCUGAUCCAGCCAUGCCGCGUGUGUGAAGAAGGUCUUCGGAUUGUAAAGCACUUUAAGUUGGGAGGAAGGGCAGUAAGUUAAUACCUUGCUGUUUUGACGUUACCAACAGAAUAAGCACCGGCUAACUUCGU
rnacentral:rRNA from 1 species